CCUACGGGAGGCUGCAGUGAGGAAUAUUGGUCAAUGGGCGGAAGCCUGAACCAGCCAAGUCGCGUGCAGGAUGACGGCCCUACGGGUUGUAAACUGCUUUUAUACGGGAAUAAAGCGCCUUACUUGUAGGGCUUUGCAUGUACCGUAUGAAUAAGGACCGGCUAAUUCCGUGCCAGCAGCCGCGGUAAUACGGAAGGUCCGGGCGUUAUCCGGAUUUAUUGGGUUUAAAGGGAGCGUAGGCGGCAUGUCAAGCGUGCGGUGAAAUGUCCGGGCUCAACCCCGACAAGCCGUUGAAACUGGCGUGCUAGAGUGGGCGAGAAGUAUGCGGAAUGCGUGGUGUAGCGGUGAAAUGCAUAGAUAUCACGCAGAACUCCGAUUGCGAAGGCAGCAUACCGGCGCCCAACUGACGCUCAGGCACGAAAGCGUGGGUAUCGAACAGGAUUAGAUACCCUUGUAGUC
rnacentral:rRNA from 1 species